rnacentral:rRNA from 1 species
UACGUAGGGACCAAGCGUUGUUCGGAUUUACUGGGCGUAAAGGGCGCGUAGGCGGCAUGACAAGUCACUUGUGAAAUCUCUGGGCUUAACCCAGAACGGCCAAGUGAUACUGUCGCGCUAGAGUGCGGAAGGGGCAAUCGGAAUUCUCGGUGUAGCGGUGAAAUGCGUAGAUAUCGGGAAGAACACCCGUGGCGAAGGCGGUUCUCUGGGACGGUACUGACGCUGAGACGCGAAAGCGUGGGGAGCGAACAGG